rnacentral:rRNA from 1 species
GACGAACGCUGGCGGCGUGCUUAACACAUGCAAGUCGAACGGAAAGGCCCUGCUUUUGUGGGGUGCUCGAGUGGCGAACGGGUGAGUAACACGUGAGUAACCUGCCCUUGACUUUGGGAUAACUUCAGGAAACUGGGGCUAAUACCGGAUAGGAGCUCCUGCUGCAUGGUGGGGGUUGGAAAGUUUCGGCGGUUGGGGAUGGACUCGCGGCUUAUCAGCUUGUUGGUGGGGUAGUGGCUGACCAAGGCUUUGACGGGUAGCCGGCCUGAGAGGGUGACCGGCCACGUUGGGACUGGGCUACGGCACAGACUCCUACGGGAGGCAGCGGUGGAGAAUAUUGCACUAUGGGCUGGACCCUGAUGCAGCCACGCCGCGUGCGGGAUGACGGCCUUCGGUUUGUAUACCGAUUUCGCCUGUGACGAAGCGUGAGUGACGGUACUGGGUAAAGAAGCACCGGCUAACUACGUG